rnacentral:tRNA from 1 species
GCCGCAGUGGUGGAACGGUAGACACAGAAGACUUAAAAUCUUCCGGCCGCUGGCUGUGCCGGUUCAAAUCCGGCCUGCGGUACCA